GCAUAUCAAUAAGCGGAAGGAAAAGAAAAUAACAAUGAUUUCCUUUAGUAAACGGCGAAGUGAACAGGAAAAAGCUCAAAGUUGGAACCUGUUUGGCCUAGCUAAACCGGAUUGUAAACUGUAGAAGUGUUUUCCCAGGCAAGCCGGACCGAUAAGUCCUUUGGAACAGGGCAUCAUAGAGGGUGAGAAUCCCGUCUUCGGUCUGAGCAUUUGCCUUUUGCGAUACACUUUCAAAGAGUCAGGUUGUUUGGGAAUGCAGCCUAAAUUGGGUGGUAAAUCUCACCUAAAGCUAAAUAUUGGCGAGAAACCGAUAGCGAACAAGUACCGUGAGGGAAAGAUGAAAAGAACUUUGAAAAGAGAGUUAAACAGUAUGUGAAAUUGUUAAAAGGGAACCGUUUGGAGCCAGACUGGCUUGUCUGUAAUCAGUCUAAGCUUCGGCUUGGAUGCACUUGCAGGCUAUGCCUGCCAACGACAAUUUGGCUUGAGGGAAAAAACUAAGGGAAAUGUGGCCCAUCCGCGGGUGUUAUAGUCCCUUAGAAAAUACCUUGGGCUGGAUUGAGGUACGCAGCGAAUGCUAUUUGGCGAGUUGGCUGGGAAUAUUUUCUGAGGUGCUUUGGUACUGAGGUUGAUAUUCCUAGUUACACUUCUAUUCGCUUAGGUUGUUGGCUUAAUGACUCUAAAUGACCCGUCUUGAAACACGGACCAAGGAGUCCACCAUUAGUGCAAGUGUUUGGGUGCCAAACCCAUACGCGUAAGGAAACUGAUUGAUACGAAUCCGCAAGGAGGCAGUAUCGUCCGGCGCUGACGUUUUAUACUGAAAUUGACCGAGACAAAGCACUAAUGAUGGGACCCGAAAGAUGGUGAACUAUGCCUGAAUAGGGUGAAGCCAGAGGAAACUCUGGUGGAGGCUCGUAGCGAUUCUGACGUGCAAAUCGAUCGUCAAAUUUGGGUAUAGGGGGCGAAAGACUAAUCGAAACCAUCUAGUAGCUGGGUUCCUGCGA
rnacentral:rRNA from 1 species